GGGGCCAUAGCUCAAUGGCAGAGCAUCUGCUUUGCGUGCAGAAGGUCCCGGGUUCGAUCCCUGCCAUCUCCA